rnacentral:rRNA from 2 species
CNUGNGGCGNGCUACCAUGCUNUCGAGCGAUCUCUUCGGAGAGAGCGGCGGACGGGUGAGUAACGCGUGGGUAACCUGCCCUGUACACACGGAUAACAUACCGAAAGGUAUACUAAUACGGGAUAACAUACGAAAGUCGCAUGGCUUUUGUAUCAAAGCUCCGGCGGUACAGGAUGGACCCGCGUCUGAUUAGCUAGUUGGUAAGGUAAUGGCUUACCAAGGCAACGAUCAGUAGCCGACCUGAGAGGGUGAUCGGCCACACUGGAACUGAGACACGGUCCAGACUCCUACGGGAGGCAGCAGUGGGGAAUAUUGCACAAUGGGCGAAAGCCUGAUGCAGCAACGCCGCGUGAGCGAUGAAGGCCUUCGGGUCGUAAAGCUCUGUCCUCAAGGAAGAUAAUGACGGUACUUGAGGAGGAAGCCCCGGCUAACUACGUGCCAGCAGCCGCGGUAAUACGUAGGGGGCUAGCGUUAUCCGGAAUUACUGGGCGUAAAGGGUGCGUAGGUGGUUUUUUAAGUCAGAAGUGAAAGGCUACGGCUCAACCGUAGUAAGCUUUUGAAACUAGAGAACUUGAGUGCAGGAGAGGAGAGUAGAAUUCCUAGUGUAGCGGUGAAAUGCGUAGAUAUUAGGAGGAAUACCAGUAGCGAAGGCGGCUCUCUGGACUGUAACUGACACUGAGGCACGAAAGCGUGGGGAGCAAACAGGAUUAGAUACCCUGGUAGUCCACGCCGUAAACGAUGAGUACUAGGUGUCGGGGGUUACCCCCCUCGGUGCCGCAGCUAACACAUAAGACUCCGCCUGAAGCCCC